rnacentral:rRNA from 1 species
AUUCCAGCUCCAAUAGCGUAUACUAAAGUUGUUGCAGUUAAAAAGCUCGUAGUUGAAUUUCUGGAUGCGAAAGAUGGUCGGCACCUCACGGUGUCUGUACUUUUCAUUCGCGUCCAUCCUCGGGAGGAACGUGUGGGGCUUUAAGUAGUUCUGCUCGGGAAUCUCGUCAUUUACUGUGAGCAAAAUAGAGUGUUCAAAGCAGGCUUAUGCCGUUGAAUAUAUUAGCAUGGAAUAAUAAGAUACGACUUUGGUCUAUUUUGUUGGUUUCUAGAGCUGAGGUAAUGAUUAAUAGGGAUAGUUGGGGGCAUUCGUAUUUAACUGUCAGAGGUGAAAUUCUUGGAUUUGUUAGAGACGGACUACUGCGAAAGCAUUUGCCAAGGAUGUUUUCAUUA